GUCAGAAGGCCCCUCAGUGAGUGCAGCCCAGGAGACUGGUCACAUUCUGGGGUUGCGGAAGGGCCUUGGCUGCAUUCAGUUUCUCCACAUCACUGUAGCAGUACAAAUUGGGACCAUGGAUGAGGGGUCCCGACUUCCUUCUCCAGCCGCUUCGGAUAACCGCUUACUAGGGUAUAGCCUCCCUUUGUCAGGAAGACAUAUACCUGGGUGCCCUGGA
rnacentral:lncRNA from 1 species